AGUUAAUGAACUUGAAUAAGUAUAUGUUUUGAAAACAUAAAAUAGAAACAUUAAUUUUCUAUUAACUU
rnacentral:tRNA from 1 species